rnacentral:lncRNA from 1 species
AAAGUUUUCUUGUUUCUCUUAUAUUGCAAUUCCUCCACCAAGGUGAUAUAGUUUUUUAGUUUGCUGAGUGUGUGUGUAUAUAUACACAAGCCCUUUAUCCAAAUGGAUUUCCAUUCUUGGGUAAAAAUGAGACUAGUUGUAGGACCUACUCUACAUCGAUUUUCAAUGAUUUGAACCGUUUAUCUUGCAAGUCUCGAUUCAUAAAUCAUCCUUGCAGAAAUUCAAUUCAAUCACAAACCAUUUGCCUAUUUAAUUAUCACAAUAAAAUUUCGUUGUUUUUUGUAGAACAAAGUGUCAAUUUCUUUGUACUCUUAAUUAGACGCCUCAAAUAUUUCUGAUUUUGCUAAUAUUUUGUAAGGAUGAUCUAUGAGGUGCAACUUGAAAAAUACACGGUUUAGAUCGUUAAAGUUCAAUGUGGUGUGAACUCCACAACUAAUCCGCAUUUAAAAAUAAAUAAAUAGAGAUCGUUAAAGUUCGAUGUGAUUAACCUUAAUAUUUAUCAUUUUGUGUUUAUUUUUAUGAUCUCCAAUUGACAAAUUAAAAUUCAAACUCCCAGUACUAAAGUUUAGCACAAAAGAAAAUUGGGGUUUCGGAAAAUUGAAAAUUGAAAGUUUCAACAUUUCAAUCAAUAAUUCCACUCUUUGGUGAACAAAGAGACAUUUCACAAUAUGCAAUAUAUUAAACAAGAUCAAAUUACUAGUUGAUGCCAUCACACAAGUGAUACAAAGUAAUCACACAAAGCAACAAAAAAAAAAAAAGCGUUGGUUCAAUGGGGCAGCCCAGCUAUCCAUGAUGGAUCCGGAUGGCACCGACCCGUUAUCCUUCCACUGCCAAGAGCGGGAGGUAAUCGUUGCUCUGUGAAACCAGCCUUACGCGGUUCCAUCCGCUCUAGAAAUCGUGUAGCCUAGAGCCUUCGCUCAAGCCACACAACUCAACUCCUAGCUUGGAAUGGGCAGGCCGGAAUAGAGCCACUCCAGACCCGAACAGCCAACGCUGAACCAAUGUUCCAACACCUCAAUGCCCCCACUUGGGUUACAAGCUUGCGUUACCAAGCUCGACGAUUAUUCAUCCUUGUGCUGGUAUUAUGAAGAACAGUUUUGCACUUCACUUGCCCGAUGUGGGACUGUUUAACUAGCUUAAAUUUAUGUAUGUACUUUAGAAAAAUUUAAUUAUUAUUAUCAAAGAGAGGGAUGAUUCAAAACUAUUAUAAUAAUUUAAUCGAUGAAGAGUUUUGAAAUGUUAAAUAAGCAAUUGGAUCACCAUGUUUUUGAAAUGUUAGACAGAUUUCUAGCUGCUCGACAAAUACUUCUUUGGUCUUGAAUAUUUUGUUGUAGGCAAUGGAGCGACGGUACGCGUAUGACAGGAUAGGUGGCUUCCGAGGCCGAAUACAUUCAAAGUGUUAUCAGUGGCACCAGUUUCGCAGAAACAUAUGAGGGUGCAGGACCUACUUGAUCCGGUAAGCAAGUCUUUGAGCCUCGAAGUUUUAUCUGCGUUAUUUUUGGAGGAAGAGGUGAAUCUUAUACGCACUAUGCCUACUAGUAUUUGUAUGCCGGCGGAUUGUUUCAUGAGCGGGGAUUCAGAACAUUGAAAGUUCCAACAUUUCAAUCAAUAAUUCCACUCGUUGGUGAUCAAAUUACUGAUUACCUAACAAAUGAACAAAAAAAGCAUUGGUUCAAUUUAGGCAGCCCAGCUAUCCAUGAUGGAACUGGAUGGCACCGACCUGUUAUCCUUCCACUACUAAGAGCAGGAGGUUGUCACGGUUCCCUCUGCUCUAGAAAUUGUAUAGCCCAGAGCCUUUGCUCAGGCCACACAACUCAACUCCUAGCUUGGAAUAAAGCCACUCCAGACGCAAACAACUAACUCUGAACCAAUUUUCCAACACUUCAAUGCCACCACUUGGGUUACAAGCUUGCGUUACUAAUCACGGCGAUUAUUCAUCCUUCUGCUGGUAUUAUGAAGAGCAAUUUGUGCUUCACUUUGCCGAUGUGGGACUAUUUAACUAGCUUAAAUUUAUUUAUUUAUUAUAGAAAUUUUUAUUAUUUUUAAGAGGAGGGGUAGGGUUCAAAACUAUUAUAAUAAUUUGAGCGAAGGGAAGUUUCGAACCAAUGACGCAUAGGUAAAAAUCAAAUACCCUACCCACUAAGAUAUUCAACCACAUGCUACCACCUUCAAUUUAUGAGUAUGCAUCAAGGGUCUAAUUGUAAGCUCAACUUUUGGGCAUUAUGCAAGUUCAGAUAAGCAAUUGAAUCACCAUGUUCAAGCACACAGACAGAUUUCUAGCUGCUCCACAAGUACUUGUUGGCCUUCAAUAUUUUGUUUUUCAAGAUAAAAGAUGGGAAGUAAAGUUCACAAGGACAUGCAUUGACUUGAAUCAUGAUUGAAUGGACCUGGUAAUGCAUAUCUGUGUGUCUCAUUCGGGGGAGAGACUCUCGUGUAACCGGAGAGGCAAAUAUAUACUAGACAGUUGAUACACUAUUUGAACACAUAACGAUCAUUCAUUAGAUCGAGAAAGCCACUAAGACUGUAAUGGU